AAGCACAGGGACUGGCAUCCACAGUCAGAUGCUCUAGGGCUUCUUUGUUUACUUUUAUUUUUUGGAAACAGGGUCUUACUAUGUAGCUGGCUUUGAACUCACCAUCCUCCUGCUUCAGCCUCCUAGGAGCUAGAAUCACAGGUCCCACUGUUUCAAGCACAGCUCUCUUUGAGUAAUUCCAGGAGUAAGAAAAAUCUGGCUGGAAUCAAGGACCUGUCCAUGGCCUGGUGAACAAUGGCUGGGGAAAGUGAGUCCUGGCCCAGACAUGGCCAAGGGGAUUUCACUCUCAUGAUCAAGAAGGGAAGAAGAGACAUCCCAAGGACAAGUGCCUGGACAUAUUGGAGACUUAUUGACCCUGGAAGAUGCCCUUCCUUGGUCAGCAAUUCUUAGAGCAAAGGACACCCUACUCUCCUGGUUGUCACCUGGACGACCCUGCACCUGUCCUAACCACCCUGGGCCAGGUAUAGACUGCUGGGGACAACUGCUCAGGGAACUCAAAUAGGCAGAUCCCCAGCCUGCUGCCAGCCCCACUGUUUCUUCCAUGGAAAACACAGCACAGACUCCUGUCCACCGUGCCCUCCUUCCGCCCCCUGAUUGCCUUGUACUUCUUCCUGCCCUGUCUGAGAGGCCUCCUGCUUCUAAGACUCUGAGAGCAAACCUCUUCCUCACCAUGGUGUUUUCUUCCACUCCCCACUAAAACAAACCCCAGUUGCCUUUUAGUAUGGUUCCUGGUGUCCCAUGAGAAAAAUAAACCAAUGUUCAGAAACAUUCUCACUCAUGACAGUGAGGCCACACAUGGGGAUGCUUAUGGAGUCCCCAGGGCAGAGGGCUUGGCUUCUCCACCUUUCUUGAACCCAGGAGCACAAUACCCUGAGCUACAACCCUAGCUUCUCCUUUAAUUUUAUUUUUAUGUUUCUGCGGUACUGGAGAUUGAAUCUAGGGCCUUCACCCUUUAUAUUUUUUAUUUUGAGGCAAGAUCUCACUUAGUGCCCAGGCUAGCCUUAAUUUGUGAUCUUUCUGCUUUAACCUCCUGAGUAUCUGGGAUUAUAGGCCUGCAUUACUGCACCUGGCUUCUUUUUUUUUUUUUUUUUUUGGUCUUCAUUGCUGAGCAGUUUCUAAGACUUAAUAGAUAUGUUUAUCUUAACAUGGUAGGAAAAUGUUUGACAUAUUAGCUGAUCAUUUUUAUUCUUGAUAUUUCUUUCUACCCUAAGAGGCUAGUUCAGAAACAAAAAACAGAGUAAAUUCUUAGCCUCUAUUCUAAAAUGAGUUCUUGAACACCCAGAACUUAAUGUCUUGCAAACUAAGGGCUUCCGUGGCAAGACUUUGGCUUUAGGAGGAGAAAUAAAGUAUUGAGAAUCAAUAUCUUGGAAUCAAAGGAGUGAGUGUACAAAGUUCACCUGGGAAGGGCAGGUGUCAGGAGCACUGACCUGUCCAUCUCCUUCACAGAAGGCCCAAACCUUGAAUUUGAAGUCAUAGAUGAAUACAGUCCUCCUUCUGACUGCAGAUUCCACGUCUCCAGAUUCAACCAACUGUGGAUUGAAAAUAUUUUUUAAAAAAUUGCAUCUGUACUGAACAUGUACAGAUGUUUUUCUUGUUAUUCCCUAAAGAAUAUAGCACAACGACUAUUCAUGUGGCAUAAACAUUGUGUUAAAUUAUUAUAAGUAAUCUAGGAAUGCUUUAAAGUAUACAAGUGGAGCAGGGC